GGAGAGGGAUGUCCGAUCGCCGGGCCGUUCGCGGCCUGGAGGAAAGUCCGGACACCGCAGGGCAUGGUGGUGGGUAACGCCCACCGUCCGUGAGGACAGGGAAAGUGCCACAGAAAGCAAACCGCCGACGUUUCAGGAGUUACUUCUGAAGCGGGUAAGGGUGAAACGGUGAGGUAAGAGCUCACCAGCGGGGCGGGUGACCGUUCCGGCUCGGCAAACCCCACCAGGUGCAAGACCAAAUAAGGGGGCAAUUUCGAGCGAGCUUCGGCUUUCUCGGGAUACGAAUCGGCCCGAUUCGUCACGACUUCCGGGUAGGUCGCACGAGGCGUGGCGCAAGUCACGUCCCAGAUUCAUGAUCGGAGGCUGGCGGAGAUUCCGUCGGCGCACGAAAUCCGGCUUACGUUUCCUCUCCCGUC
rnacentral:RNase_P_RNA from 1 species